GUUUGUCUUGAAUUUUGACCUCAGUAUUGCUGUUUUUCAGCUUUUGUGUAAGGCCGGCACUUGCCGCCUUUAACCAAUAGCUCACUCAGGUGGCACAUUCCAGAGCCGCCUGUCAGUGAGAAUUACUGAGACAGAAUUUAAGGCUUGUAUACAUUCAUGUUGAUGCAGUUUUCUGUUGUUGUGUAAGGCAGUUAUGCUGCCUUUUA